rnacentral:rRNA from 1 species
UUCCGUGAGUCAUCGAAUCUUUGAACGCACAUUGCGCCCACUGGUAUUCCGGUGGGCAUGCCUGUUCGAGCGUCAUU